CCAUGGUUUCAACCGUGGGUUUUGCUGAUUUUGCGAUUCACAAAGGUGGUUUCAAAUGAAACCAUGGUUUCAACAGUGGGUUUUCGGCAUGAUUUUGAGUCAACUGUUUUAGGUGGUUUCAAACCGUGGGUUUUAGGAAAACCAUGGUUUUUAGGCAGAUUGACCAAUCACAGAACAGUAUUUCGGUACAUUGCUGAGCUAGCUGAGCAAGUGCAUAGACGACGAGAAAUAGCUUUGCACGAAAUGAAGAGGAGCAAAGCGUUUAAUAUCGGUAUUUGCCGAGCUGUGAGAACAUCUAAAUUUUUGAAUGGAUGAAAACAUCUUACAACAUGCACAGGCUGUCCUGAGAGACUAUUAAAUGAGGAUUGUUAGAGAGGAAUAUGCCAACAAGAACUGCAAUGAGGAGUCGUUGACAGGAGGAAACUUUUUAAAAGAGAACACACACUACCUCAUCAACAUGCUUGAAGAUG